AAAACUGGCACAACACCUACAGAAAGCAAAAUAUUCAUUAAAAAAUUUUAAAGGCAAUGUUUAGAUAGCCUUGUCUAAAAGUAAAGGAUUGUUCGAAAGUGAAAAGCCCAAGAAGUCAGAACGGGGACUGAAGAGAUGGCUCAGCAGGAUCCCAGGCUUUCUUCCUCCUCCUUCAGCUCUGCCCAGCUGUGUGCUAACCCAGCAACACUGCGUCCAUCCGUCCGUCCGACACUGUCUUUUCAGAACCCCAGCAGCAGCAGCAGCAUGACAGCUGCUAACCUCACAGCCCUCCAAUGUGCUUGAGUUGAAUUUCUUUGCUUUCUUUCUUCCCGCCUAAGGAAAGGAUUCUUUCAAAGAAAACAUACAAUUUUUCAACACAUGAGUUCUGUCAGCCUCUUCCUGUAUAAACCUCACUCUUAACUCCUGUCAAACGUUGGGCCAUAGGUUCCUGAGCUAAAGGAGAAAUAUAUCCAGUCAACCAAAAAUAGAUUUUCUUUAACAGCACCAAGGAAUCUAAACCCAUCCUUAAAAUACUUUGUAGAGGAAUUAGCCAGGCGUUCUAUCAUUUGCUUAGAGCAGCACAGAAGGGUAGGACGAGUGGUGGG
rnacentral:lncRNA from 1 species